GGCUGCUCUGAAGGUGUUAAGUUAUCUCAACUGAUUGUUCAGAGUCAGUUACAGAUCAGACUCCCUGUUGUACUCUUUCCCCCCUUCUCACUACUGCACUUGACCAAAA
ensembl:misc_RNA Y_RNA Y RNA